CGUUGUCCGGAUUUAUUGGGCGUAAAGAGCGUGUAGGCGGCUAGGUAGGUCCGUUGUGAAAACUCGAGGCUCAACCUCGAGACGUCGAUGGAAACCAUCUAGCUAGAGUCCGGAAGAGGAGAGUGGAAUUCCUGGUGUAGCGGUGAAAUGCGCAGAUAUCAGGAAGAACACCCGUGGCGAAGGCGGCUCUCUGGGACGUGACUGACGCUGAGACGCGAAAGCGUGGGGAGCGAACAGG
rnacentral:rRNA from 1 species